rnacentral:lncRNA from 1 species
GUCACGUAAUUGCUUGUUUUCCUAGACAUAAUUAGCAUUUUUGCAUCAAAGCUUGAGACACAAGAACUGUACUUUCAUAUCAGAUAUUCAUUGUUAGGAAGGCAAUGAUAUAGGAUCAAAUAACAGCUUGUUGCAGCUACGUGCAUUAGUUUCAUGUAAGACUAAGAAUCUAAGACAAGUAUUACUUGAACAGUUGAAUAUUUCAGAAAAUGAAAAUUGAUUUGGUGAACCAUGGACCAUAUAAUUUAAAAGGGAAAAAUAAUAAAACUUAUAAGAUUAAAGAAAUGAACGCAAAUGUAAAUAAAAACUAGCCCUUAGUAGAUUCAAGAAAAAAAGAAGAUUUGAUUUGCUCCCCACCAGACCCAUGCCAAGAAAAUGGCCUGUUGAAGCAACACAGUGUACAGGAAAUGACUCAGAAAGAAGAGAUUGGGGUACAUAUAAGAUUUUUCUCCAUAGUAAAAGGAAAUACAAGCAACAUAUCAUUUCCAUAUAAAACCAAAAUAAAGAAAGCUUUUGUUUAUUGUAAUUAUACUCUUUGGGGGAAAAAAGGUACAGAGAAAUUAUUUGAGAUGCUCAGCAAAUGCAAAAUUGACUGCAACAACCCCCUGAAGAAAAAGUUGAAUGCAUAGUUUAGAGCAUCAAAAUUAAGUAAUGAGACAACAAGAGUAAGAAGGAAUUCCAAAGCCCGUUCCUUCUAAGAGGGCAGUUCGGUCUAGAGUCGGAAGUAAUGUCCAAAUGAAUUCAUGAAAGCAAAUAUAACCAAACAGAACAAGGCUCACUAUUUACACUUGUGAUUUUUUAAAAAGUAAAUUUACACUUGUGUUACGGAAUGCCAAUUAGUUAGUAGUAAUGAUUUUUAUAAAGGUAUUUUUUCUACUAGCUUGAUGGCCAUCGGACAAUAUUUAAACAAACCCGUGGUCAUGAGCGCUAGUAUGUUGGUGACAAUAACAGAAUCAUCUUAAUGGAAAAAAAGUGCUGAAAUAUUUUGAGAAAUAAUAAGAUGGUAAACAGACAAGCUUCUAAGUUGACAUCAAGAUGAAAAGCCUCAGUAACCACUGAAUGAACUUCCCCUCCUUUUUUCCAAAUUUUCAGAAAAAGGAGGGCAAACCCCACGUUGGGUUAAUGAAGAAACGGUACGACAGAGCAAAGGAAACAAACCAAAAAUGACAAUGGUUACAAUGGAACAAUCUAAGCCUUCCCCCAACACUUAAGAUAAAAUCCCGAAUACAAAAUUGGCUCCAAUAUGGCGGCAGGCUACACAAAUUCCAUGAUGAGCAUCACCAACUAGAAGUUACCAUAUAAUUAUAAAGCAAACACCAUGAAUAGACAAGGUCCUCCAUGAUCCAUACAUAUUCAUAUAAUCAAAAUACCUUAGGUUGCCACUAGUUAGAACACAAUCCCAACCAUGCCAAUGCAACAAAAAUGAGGACUUUAAGGCUACACGCACUUCAAAAGUAUCACAAUCAGAUGCUUUCUUCAUAUGUCGCUCUCAUGCUCUCUCCAAAAUGAUCGAUUUUAAUAUCCUAAGAAUUUAAAAUCCCAGGAAAAAAACACCUUUUUGAAACUAAGGGCAUGAUGAAAAUCAAAACAGUGAAGUAGUAAGUUCUUAUUGGGUUCUAUCUGCGCUCAAAAGCCACCACACCUAGUAUCAUAUGAAUCGAAAUUCUAACCGCAUCGAAUCCAAUCUCCAACAAAUCGCGCAAUGAUGAGCCAACUUGACGCAGAAUUUGCCAGAAUGAACUCGUAGGCAUUAAAGUCACUCAAAUUAACUGCCAAUUAUUUACNNN